UACAGAGGGGGCGAGCGUUGUUCGGAAUUACUGGGCGUAAAGGGCGCGUAGGCGGCCUCUUAAGUCGAACGUGAAAUCCCCGGGCUCAACCCGGGAACUGCGUCCGAUACUGGGGGGCUUGAAUCCGGGAGAGGGAUGUGGAAUUCCAGGUGUAGCGGUGAAAUGCGUAGAGAUCGGGAGGAACACCCGUGGCGAAGGCGGCUCACUGGGCCGGUCCUGACGCUGAGACGCGAAGGCGUGGGGAGCGAACGGG
rnacentral:rRNA from 1 species